GUCGGAGUGGAGGAAAGACGGGGAUGAGGGGGAUGUGGAGAGGAGAGAGAGAAUGGGGAAGUUCUUCCGCAGCGCAGAGACCGAGUUGCCUACGGCGGUCAGAUGGCGGCAUCGCGGGCACGGCAGCGUGGCUCCGGGGGCUGCCGCUAGCAUGCGGGAGAGGCACGCGCGGCAGAAUCCAUGUCCGCAGUGGAGGAGCAGCGGCGUCCGCUCCUCCUCGUCAUAUCUGACGUUGCAUAACGAGCAGCAUGGUACUCGCAUCGCGCCGGCGCCGACAGGUUCAGGCGACGCCGUGCCCUAGGGCGCGGGGCCGGAGAGGAAGCUGUAAAUGGGGAGGGUAGAUCUGGGCGUCGGGGUGGGGGUUUGGGGAGGGGAGACGAGAGAGCACUCAGAGCAGCGUGGGAACUUCCGAAAGAUUGGUGGUGAUGCCUUGAUGCCGGUGGCCGGUGGGGACUG
rnacentral:misc_RNA from 1 species